GCUUACCAUGCAAGUCGAGCGGAAAGGCCCUUCGGGGUACUCGAGCGGCGAACGGGUGAGUAACACGUGAGCAACCUGCCCCAGGCUUUGGGAUAACCCCGGGAAACCGGGGCUAAUACCGAAUAUGACCUUGCACCGCAUGGUGUUUGGUGGAAAGUUUUUCGGCUUGGGAUGGGCUCGCGGCCUAUCAGCUUGUUGGUGGGGUGAUGGCCUACCAAGGCGACGACGGGUAGCCGGCCUGAGAGGGCGACCGGCCACACUGGGACUGAGACACGGCCCAGACUCCUACGGGAGGCAGCAGUGGGGAAUAUUGCACAAUGGGCGGAAGCCUGAUGCAGCGACGCCGCGUGAGGGAUGACGGCCUUCGGGUUGUAAACCUCUUUCAGCAGGGACGAAGCGUAAGUGACGGUACCUGCAGAAGAAGCGCCGGCCAACUACGUGCCAGCAGCCGCGGUAAGACGUAGGGCGCGAGCGUUGUCCGGAUUUAUUGGGCGUAAAGAGCUCGUAGGCGGCUUGUCGCGUCGACUGUGAAAACCCGCAGCUCAACUGCGGGCCUGCAGUCGAUACGGGCAGGCUAGAGUUCGGUAGGGGAGACUGGAAUUCCUGGUGUAGCGGUGAAAUGCGCAGAUAUCAGGAGGAACACCGGUGGCGAAGGCGGGUCUCUGGGCCGAUACUGACGCUGAGGAGCGAAAGCGUGGGGAGCGAACAGGAUUAGAUACCCUGGUAGUCCACGCUGUAAACGUUGGGCGCUAGGUGUGGGGGGCCUCUCCGGUUCCCUGUGCCGCAGCUAACGC
rnacentral:rRNA from 1 species